rnacentral:lncRNA from 1 species
UGUGAAAAGAAAGUAACUGAGCAGGGAAGGAUUGUUAAUGACUAAUCUGUGUCCAUGAGGCACAGAGCCAAGGAAGAGAUGCUGCUGCUAGCCCAGAAGGCCGCCUGUGAUCAUGCACAGUACACUGGAACUCUCUCCUCCUCCUCACCUCAUUGUCUCCCCGACUUAUCCUAAUGCGAAAUUGGAUUCUGAGCAUUUGUAGCAAAAUCGCUGGGAUCUGGAGAGGAAGACUCAGUCCAGAAUCCUCCCAGGGCCUUGAAAGUCCAUCUCUGACCCAAAACAAUCCAAGGAGGUAGAAGACAUCGUAGAAGGAGUGAAAGAAGAAAAGAAGACUUAGAAACAUAGCUCAAAGUGAACACUGCUUCUCUUAGUUUCCUGGAUUUCUUCUGGACAUUUCCUCAAGAUGAAACUUCAGACACUUUGGAGUUUUUUUUGAAGACCACCAUAAAGAAAGUGCAUUUCAAUUGAAAAAUUUGGAUGGGAUCAAAAAUGAAUCUCAUUGAACAUUCCCAUUUACCUACCACAGAUGAAUUUUCUUUUUCUGAAAAUUUAUUUGGGCUUCUCAGACUCCCCUGGAGUCCAUCCAUGUGUUCUCAUUUAAGAACUCGUCCCUAAACUUCCAUGGAGAACCGUCACAAAGGAAUCCUAAUUCUCAUACUCUUUGAUAGGCUAAUUCCAAAAUAAAGAUUCCUAAAUCUAAAUUUUAAUAUGUAUUUUCCCUUUUAAAUUGUAUCAAAAUAGAAAUAAAUUUACCUUUUCAGAAAGCAUACUCUAAAUUAAAGUCGAACUACCUCUACUCCCUCCACAUCUUAUUUUCUGCCAAUGUUGUAUUUGUUUACUUGUUUACUUAUUUUUGUCCUAACCCUUGACAUCCCCACUUCCCAAAACACACAAACAAGAGAAAGGCUGGGCCUUCGUAUGUGUCUUUUCACUUUCAUAUGUUCAGAC